rnacentral:rRNA from 1 species
UACGGAGGGGGCUAGCGUUGUUCGGAAUUACUGGGCGUAAAGCGCACGUAGGCGGCUUUGUAAGUUAGAGGUGAAAGCCCGGGGCUCAACUCCGGAAUUGCCUUUAAGACUGCAUCGCUAGAAUUGUGGAGAGGUAAGUGGAAUUCCGAGUGUAGAGGUGAAAUUCGUAGAUAUUCGCAGGAACACCGGUGGCGAAGGCGGCCAACUGGACCAGCACUGACGCUGAGGCGCGAAAGCGUGGGGAGCAAACAGG